rnacentral:rRNA from 1 species
GACGAACGCUGGCGGCGCGCCUAACACAUGCAAGUCGAGCGAUGAAAUUUUAACCGAUCUCUUCGGGGGAAAGAAAAAAUGGAUUGGCGGCGGAGGGGGGGGUAAACCGUAAAAAACCGGCCUUUAACAGGGGGAUAGCCCCGGGAAACGGGGUUAAAAACCCAAUGACACAUUUCUUUCCAUGGGAGGAAUUGUAAAACUUCGGUGGGGAAAGAUGGUUUCGCGCCUGAUUAGCUAGUUGGUGGGGUAACGGCCCACCAAGGCCAUGAUCAGUAACCGGCCUGAGAGGGUGAACGGUCACAUUGGAACUGAGACACGGUCCAAACUCCUACGGGAGGCAGCAGUGGGGAAUAUUGCACAAUGGAGGAAACUCUGAUGCAGCGACGCCGCGUGAGCGAUGAAGGCUUUCGAGUCGUAAAGCUCUGUCCUAUGGGAAGAUAAUGACGGUACCAUAGGAGGAAGCCCCGGCUAACUACGUG